rnacentral:rRNA from 1 species
UUUUCGGAGAGUUUGAUCCUGGCUCAGGACGAACGCUGGCGGCGUGCCUAAUACAUGCAAGUCGAGCGGACUGAUGGGGAGCUUGCUCCCCUGACGUCAGCGGCGGACGGGUGAGUAACACGUGGGCAACCUGCCUGUAAGACUGGGAUAACUUCGGGAAACCGGAGCUAAUACCGGAUAACCCCUUCCCCCUCCUGAGGGAAGGUUGAAAGAUGGCUUCGGCUAUCACUUACAGAUGGGCCCGCGGCGCAUUAGCUAGUU